rnacentral:rRNA from 1 species
AGAGCAUACGGAGGAUGCCUUGGUACAUGGCGCCGAAGAAGGACGUGACAAGCUGCGAAAAGCUGCGGGGAGCUGCAAAUGAGCCGAGAUCCGCAGAUGUCCGAAUGAGGAAACUCAGCGCGGGUAAUGCCGCGUUAUCAUACACUGAAUCCAUAGGUGUAUGAGGGGAACCCGGGGAACUGAAACAUCUAAGUACCCGGAGGAAAAGAAAGUAAAAACGAUUCCGAAAGUAGUGGCGAGCGAAAUCGGAGAAGCCCAAACCGCAUAUAGCAAUAUGUGCGGGGUAUGGACCCCGAAAAGCACGGAGAACGAUAGCCGAAUAGUGUUGGAAAGCACAUCGAAACAGGGUAACAGGCCCGUAGGCGAAAUUGUUCAAAGGCCGGGGGUAUCCGGAGUACGUCGGGACACGAGAAAUCCUGACGGAAGACAGGAGGACCAUCUCCUAAGGCUAAAUACGACCAUGUGACCGAUAGCGAAUAGUACCGUGAGGGAAAGGUGAAAAGCACCCCGGGAGGGGAGUGAAAGAGAACCUGAAACCGUAUGCUUACAAGCAGACAGAGCACCACACGCGUGUGAUGUCGUACUUUUUGUAGAACGGGCCGGCGAGUUACGUUGUGUUGCGAGGUUAAGCGAUAAAGUCGCGGAGCCGAAGCGAAAGCGAGUCUGAAAAGGGCGGAAAGUAGCAUGACGUAGACCCGAAACCUGAUGACCUAUCCAUGAACAGGUUGAAGCAGCGGUAAAACGCUGUGGAGGACCGAACCCACGCCUGUUGAAAUAGUCGGGGAUGAUUUGUGGAUAGCGGAGAAAUUCCAAACGAAUCAGGAUAUAGCUGGUUCUCCUCGAAAUAGCUUUAGGGCUAGCCUCAUGAAAGAUUACCGAAGGUAGAGCACUAAAUGGCCUAGGGGGCUUCACAGCUUACCGAAGCUUAUUAAACUCCGAAUGACGGAAAAUUGAUUCAUGGGAGUCAGACAGUGACAGAUAAGUGCCAUUGUCAAAAGGGAAACAGCCCAGAUCCACAGCUAAGGUCCCAAAGUACAGGUUAAGUGGUAAAGGAUGUGUCAUUGCAGAAACAACCAGGAUGUUGGCUUAGAAGCAGCCACACAUUAAAAGAGUGCGUAAUAGCUCACUGGUCGAGUGAUGGUGCGCCGAAGAUUACCGGGGCUCAAACCUGACACCGAAGCUUGGGGAUAGAAGUAAUUCUAUCGGUAGAGGAGCAAUGCAUACUGGCAGAAGCUGUAGCGGAAGCGGCAGUGGACGGUAUGGAAGAGAGAAUGCCGGCAUAAGUAGCGAGAGCGGAGCGAGAAACUCCGCCGUCGAAAGUCUGAGGUUUCCUGGGGAAGGUUCGUCCGCCCAGGGUAAGUCGGGACCUAAGUCGAGGCCGAAAGGCGUAGAUGAUGGACAACGGGUUGAGAUUCCCGUACCACCGACAGACAAUUAAAUGAAGCAGUGACACAGAAGGAUAGUUCGAGCGCACGGAUGGAAAAGUGCGUCCAAGGCGAAGCGUUGGCAGUUAGUGAAGUACGGCUGUCGCAAAACGUAGCGCUGACGGGGAGCGGAUUAGAGAAGCGAAGCGAAUGAAUCCACGCUGGCGAGAAAAGCCGCUAAAUACGUCUGAAGGUGCCCGUACCGCAAACCGACACAGGUAGACGAGAAGAAAAUUCUAAGACGAACGGGAGAACCCUUGUUAAGGAACUCGGCAAAAUGACCCCGUAACUUCGGGAUAAGGGGUGCCUGCGAGAGCAGGCCGCAGAGAAUAGUCACAAGCGACUGUUUAGCAAAAACACAGGUAUCUGCGAAAGCGAGAGCUGACGUAUAGGUGCUGACACCUGCCCGGUGCUGGAAGGUUAAGGGAACAUGUUAGAGCAAUCGAAGCAUCGAACCGAAGCCCCAGUAAACGGCGGCCGUAACUAUAACGGUCCUAAGGUAGCGAAAUUCCUUGUCGGGUAAGUUCCGACCCGCACGAAUGGUGUAACGACUUGUGAGCUGUCUCAACAGGGGGCCCGGUGAAAUUGAAGUAUGGGUGAAGAUGCCCAUUACCCGCGACUGGACGGAAAGACCCCGUAGAGCUUUACUGCAGCCUGAUAUUGAGUUUCGGUAACUGAUGCACAGGAUAGGUGGGAGUCUGAGAGACAUGGGUUUCGGCUCAUGUGGAGACGAUGUUGGGAUACCACUCUUCGGUUACUGAAAUUCUAACAUAGCUCUGUGAAACCAGAGGAUGGACAGUGUCAGGUGGACAGUUUGACUGGGGCGGUCGCCUCCGAAAGAGUAACGGAGGCGCCCAAAGGUACCCUCAGAAUGGAUGGAAACCAUUCGAAGAGCGCAAAGGCAGAAGGGUGCCUGACUGCGAGAUUGACAAAUCGAGCAGAGACGAAAGUCGGGCUUAGUGAUCCGGCGGUAUUGAGUGGAAAAGCCGUCGCUUAACGGAUAAAAGCUACCUCGGGGAUAACAGGCUGAUCUCCCCCAAGAGUCCACAUCGACGGGGAGGUUUGGCA